rnacentral:tRNA from 1 species
GGAGAGAUGGCCGAGCGGUUGAUGGCACCGGUCUUGAAAACCGGCAUGGGCGAAAGUCCAUCGGGGGUUCGAAACCCUCUCUCUCCGCCA